UUUUAAGAAUAACAUUCUAUUUCUGUAAUGCACAAUUAAUUCCCUUUUCUGUGGAUAAGGCUUAUUGCCUUACUUUUUUUGGUGGUAUUUCAGUUUGAUGCUUUAAUACAUAGCUACAUUAAUAAUGACUAUUACUAGAUGAAUCCAUUCAUAUUAAUUUGUUUCUACUUACUUUUCAUGAGUUUUUGCUGUGUCCCUCAGCUCUUUCCCACAUUCCAAAAAACACCAACUGGCUGGCGACCAGUCCAGAGAACAGAGUAGACACUGCUUCCCACCCAAAGUUUGCUGGGAAAGGCUCCAGCUCAUCCACACUCCUAAUGAGGACAAGCAGUAUAGAAAAUGGUUGGAUGGAUGAGUCACUUUGGCAUCAUAAUGGCACAACCCGUCUGUUGUUCAUCCUCCGUGAUCCAGGUCUGACCUUCUGCCUGUCCUCAACCACGAGCCUGCUUCACCCUUGCCAGCAUCCGUUCCAAUGCCUGUGAUCCAUUUCUCAUUUCCCUUCUAUACAAUAAACACUGCAGCGCUGGAUAUAGAGGACUCUGGAGUGAUUGUGGAACAUUUUCCACUUAGACAGCAGGGGGUGGAACUGGUUGCCUUGGAUGUGCUAUGAACACUCAGGGCCCUAUUUUUGUGAGUAUUUCAAGUCGGUAUGCAAGGUCUGGUCUGGUUUAUCCACGUUUUCUCCAAGCUAACGGCUAACUUUAUUGCAUGAAGGGAUGUGCCGUUAUGCAACAACGGGGAGAUUAUGCUCCUC